rnacentral:tRNA from 2 species
GCCACGAUCGCUUAAUCUGGUAGAGCGCCGGUCUUGAAAACCGGUGUCUGAAAGGACCUGCAGGUUCAAAUCCUGCUCGUGGCG